CACGGAUCCAGACUUUGAUUAUGGCUCAGGACGAACGCUGGCGGUAUGCUUAACACAUGCAAGUCGAACGAGACGAGAUGGAAGUGCUUGCACGGAAAUCUUAGAAAGUGGCGAACGGGUGAGUAACGCGUGGGUAACCUGCCCUAUGGAAAGGAAUAGCCUCGGGAAACUGGGAGUAAUGCCUUAUAAUACAUUGAAGUCGCAUGGCUUUGAUGUUAAACGCUCCGGUGCCAUAGGAUGGACCCGCGUCCCAUUAGCUAGUUGGUGAGAUAACAGCCCACCAAGGCGACGAUGGGUAACCGGUCUGAGAGGGCGAACGGUCACACUGGAACUGAGACACGGUCCAGACUCCUACGGGAGGCAGCAGUGGGGAAUAUUGCGCAAUGGGGGCAACCCUGACGCAGCAAUACCGCGUGAGUGAAGAAGGUUUUCGGAUCGUAAAGCUCUGUUAUUGGGGAAGAAAAAAAGACGGUACCCAAGAAGAAAGUCCCGGCUAAGGACGUAGAAGCAGCCGCGGUAAUACGUAGGGCUCCAGCGUUGUCCGGAUUUACUGGGCGUAAAGGGCACGCAGGCGGUUUUUUAAGUCAGAUGUGAAAGGUACCGGCUCAACCGGUGACAUGCAUUUGAAACUGAAAGACUUGAGUAUUGGAGAGGCAAGUGGAAUUCCUAGUGUAUCGGUGAAAUGCGUAGAUAUUAGGAGGAACACCGGUGGCGAAGGCGGCUACCUGGACCGAUAUUGACGCUGAGACGCGAAAGCGUGGGUAGCAAUCCGGAUUAGAUACCCUGGUAGUCCACGCUGUAUUCGCUGUGAGCUCGGUGUUGGGAUAUUCACUGCCGCAGCUAACGCAAUAUGACUCCGCCUGGAUAGUACGACUGCAAGACUUAAACUCAAAGGAAUUGACGGGGACCCGCACAAGCCGUGGAGCAUGUGGUUUAAUUCGACGCAACGCGCAGAACCUUACCUGGUCUUGACAUCUACGGAACCUCUGUGAAAGCAGGGGGUGCCUUUCGGGGAGCCGUAAGACAGGUGCUGCAUGGCUGUCGUCAGCUCGUGUCGUGAGAUGUUGGGUUAGGUCCCGCAACGAGCGCAACCCCUAUCCUCAGUUGCCAUCAUUAAGUUGGGCACUCUGUGGAGACUGCCGGUGUUAAACCGGAGGAAGGUGGGGAUGACGUCAAGUCCUCAUGGCCCUUAUGACCAGGGCUACACACGUGCUACAAUGGCCGGUACAAAGAGUUGCGAUACCGUGAGGUGGAGCCAAUCUCAUAAAGCCGGUCUCAGUUCGGAUUAGAGUCUGCAACUCGACUCUAUGAAGUUGGAAUCGCUAGUAAUCGCGGAUCAGCACGCCGCGGUGAAUACGUUCCCGGGUCUUGUACACACCGA
rnacentral:rRNA from 1 species